rnacentral:rRNA from 1 species
GACGAACGCUGGCGGCGUGCCUAAUACAUGCAAGUAGAACGCAGUUGCGAACGGGUGAGUAACGCGUAGGUAACUGCCUGGUAGCGGGGGAUAACUAUUGGAAACGAUAGCUAAUACCGCAUACUACCAGAUGGACCUGCAUUGUAUUAGCUAGUGGGUGGGGUAACGGCUCACCAAGGCAACGGUACAUAGCCGGCCUGAGAGGGUGAUCGGCCACAUGGGGACUGAGACACGGCCCAGACUCCUACGGGAGGCAGCAGUGGGGAAUAUUGGGCAAUGGGGGGAACCCUGACCGAGCCACGCCGCGUGUGUGAAGAAGGUUUUCGGGUCGUAAAGCUCUGUUGGUAAGGAAGGGUUACUUAACCAGAAAGAGACGGCUAACUACGUGCCAGCAGCCGCGGAAAUA